rnacentral:rRNA from 1 species
AUACGGAAGGUCCGGGCGUUAUCCGGAUUUAUUGGGUUUAAAGGGAGCGUAGGCCGGAGAUUAAGCGUGUUGUGAAAUGUAGAUGCUCAACAUCUGCACUGCAGCGCGAACUGGUUUCCUUGAGUACGCACAAAGUGGGCGGAAUUCGUGGUGUAGCGGUGAAAUGCUUAGAUAUCACGAAGAACUCCGAUUGCGAAGGCAGCUCACUGGAGCGCAACUGACGCUGAAGCUCGAAAGUGCGGGUAUCGAACAGGAUUAGAUACCCUGGUAGUCCGCACGGUAAACGAUGGAUGCCCGCUGUUGGUCUGAAUAGGUCAGCGGCCAAGCGAAAGCAUUAAGCAUCCCACCUGGGGAGUACGCCGGCAACGGUGAA